AUGGAGGAUAUCAAAGAGAAGAAGAAGUUUCCUGCUGUGUUAGAAUCCCCUCAAAAAAAAGUGAAGGAAUUUUGCAGAGCUGAAGAUAAAGCACCUGAGAAAGAAGUUUGCCCAAAAGAUGCACUGAAAGGCAAGGAGGAAGCUCAUCUAUGAAAAAGCUAAGUACUAUCACAAGGAAUAUAGGCAAAUGUACAGAACUGAGAUUUGAAUGGCUAGGAUGACAAGAAAAGCUAGCAACUUCUAUGUUCCUGCAAAGCCCAAAUUGGCAUUUGUCAGCAGGAUUAGAGGUAUCAAUGGUGUGAGCCCAAAGGUCUGAAAAGCAUUGCAGCUUCUUCACCUUCUUCAUAUUUUCAAUGGAAGCGUUGCUAAGCUUAACAAGGUUUCAAUUAAUAUGCUGAGGAUGGUAGGACCAUAUAUUACCCAAACCUGAAGUCAGUAAGUGAACAGUAAGGAAGUCAGUAGAUGUCAGCAAUCUACAAGUGUGGUCAUGGCACAUUCAAUAAGUGGGCUGUCUUGACAGAUAACACUUUGAUUGCUUGAUAUUUUGGUAAAUAUGGCAUCAUCUGCAUGGAGGAUCUGAUUCAUGAGAUCGAUGCUAUUGGAAAAUGCUUCCAAGAAGCAAAUAACUUUCUGUGGCCUUUCAAAUUAUACUCUCCAUGAGCUGGAAUGACGAAAAAGACCACCCAUUUCAUAGAAGGUGGAGAUACUGGCCACAGAGAAGACCAGACCAACAAGUUUAUUAUAAAGAUGAAU
rnacentral:lncRNA from 1 species